rnacentral:rRNA from 1 species
UAAGGAAUAUUGGUCAAUGGGCGGAAGCCUGAACCAGCCAUGUCGCGUGCAGGAAGACGGCCCUACGGGUUGUAAACUGCUUUUAUACUGGAAUAAACCUUUCUACGAGUAGAGAGCUGAAUGUACAGUAAGAAUAAGGACCGGCUAACUACGUGCCAGCAGCCGCGGUAAUACGUAGGGUCCAAGCGUUAUCCGGAAUCACUGGGCGUAAAGCGUGCGUAGGCGGCUUGUUAAGUGAGAUGUUAAAACGUGGGGCUCAACCCUGUCGGUGCAUCUCAUACUGGCAGGCUAGAGGACGGCAGAGGCAAGUGGAAUUGGUAGUGUAGCAGUGAAAUGCGUAGAUAUUACCAGGAACACCAAUGGCGAAGGCAGCUUGCUGGGCCGACCCUGACGCUGAGGUACGAAAGCGUGGGGAGCGAACAG